GAAGCAGAUGUGCGACGGAGUCCGCCGCGGAGGCAGUCUUUGUUGAAGACGUCCAUCGCACCGCGCGCCGAGCGCAUCGGAGCGCGGCCCGAGAACGGGAGAGAACGCUGAGCGUUACAAC
rnacentral:ncRNA from 1 species